rnacentral:lncRNA from 12 species
UCACAAAUCACCUUGGCUCAAGCUAAGUAAUUCUCUUCCGGCUCCCGGUGAGGGUGGGUGGCCUCCGGCUGGGGCCCCUGCCCACUCGGGCCGGCGCCGGCUGUGCGGGGAGCCCCUGGCCAGCCCCGGCUUGAUUCGGCGGGGCCGUGGCUCGGCCGCAUGGUCCCGGCCCCCAGCCCCCCCCGACCGCAUGGCUCCGGGCGGCCCCGGCUCAGCGGGGCUCGGCCCUGUGGGGCUCGGCUUUGCUCGGCUCGGCUCGGCUCGGCUCGACUCUCCAGGUAGCGUGGCCGAGUGGGGGGGAUCGAGGAGUCACCAAAGGCUCUCCCUUCCCCCUUCUCACACCGUUCUGAGAGAAGAGACCUCCAGCUUCCCACGUGCCUUCUUCACGAUCUAGAUAUAAUUUUAACUUUUUAAUGCCUGGAUAAGAUCCUCGAUUUCCUGAGCUCCCCUGAAUGAGAAGAAAUAAAGCAUGGAGACUACAGAGAUCAGCAGAAUGAAGAUAAAGUUCCUGGUGGGAAGAGAUUGAAAAGAUGCAACUGAUAAGUAGCUGAAAACCUUUUUUCUGGGCUGAGGGGACGGUGACUUCACUAAAAUUCCUUUAAACUGUGAAAUACACUUGGGGAGGUUUGGAUGCUUGAGUAGAAGACUUUUUGCCUCGGGGAAAUCCCCCCCCCCCCCCCCCCCCCCCCCCCCCCCCCCCCCCCCCCCCCCCCCCCCCCCCCCCCC